rnacentral:rRNA from 1 species
AUGGUGGGCGGAGGCAGGAGGGGAGGCGCGGCGGACGAGGCCAAGCUCAACACCGGCAACGUGUUCGCGGCGCUCGAGACCCUCAAGAAGAAGAAGAAGGGCGACAAGGCCAAGGGGGGCUCCUCCAAGGGAGGGAAGCAGGGGGACGAGCCCACGCCGCAGCAGCAGAAGGAGCUCUUCUGGGCGCCCGCCCCGCUCAACACCAAGUCGUGGGCCGACGUCGAGGACGACGACGACGACGACUACUUCGCCACCACCGCGCCCCCCGCGCCCAUCUGGGGGAACGACCACGCCGCCGCCAAAACGGCCAAGGAGGAGGAGGAGGACGAGGUCGAUGCUGUCCACGCCGCCCUGCCGGAGGAAAUUGAAAGUGAGGAUGAGGAGCAUGAUGAUGAGGCUGAGGAUGGUGCUGAGGAUGAACCUGAGCAUGAAGUGGAAGCUGCUGAUCCUGAUGUGAAGAAAGUUGCAGCAGCACCUAAAGAGACAGAAAGGCAGCUGUCCAAAAAGGAGUUGAAAAAGAAGGAGCUGGCUGAACUUGAUGCUGUGUUAGCUGAGUUGGGAAUUUCUGAAAACACAAGCGAUGCUGCGCAAGAUGGAAACAACAAUGCUGAGAAGAAAGGUGCGAGCCAAGCUGGUGAUGGAGAGAGAAAGGAAGACGCACCUGCCCCUUUAGAGAGCAAGAAUGCCAAGAAGAAGAAGAACAAGAAGGACAAGAGCGCAAAGGAGGCAAAGGAAGCUGAAGUGUCGGAGGAGGCUGCCAGUGCAGAACCCGAGGAAGACACGGCUGUGGAUGUCAAGGAGCGCCUAAAGAAGAUGGCGUCGAUGAAGAAGAAGUCGGGCAAGGAGACGGACACAGCUGCAAAGAUCGCCGCGGCAGAGGCGGCAGCCAGGACCGCCAGGCUCGCGGCGGCAAAGAAGAAGGAGAAGAGCCAUUACAACCAGCAACCCGUGCGGUAA